rnacentral:rRNA from 1 species
UAAUUAGCGGUAAAUACAACAUAUUCUUAAGUAAAUAAGAAUAUAGAUAAAAAUAACAAAUAAGAGAAAAUAUUAGGAUGUUAUUAUAUAUAAUGUCCUUUUCCCUUUUCUUCUUAUUUUGUUUUUUUUAUUCUAUUUCUUUUUUUACUUAAGAAUGUAUUUACUUGAUUGUAAAGCUUCUUAGAGGAACAUUGUGUGUCUAACACAAGGAAGUUUAAGGCAACAACAGGUCUGUGAUGUCCUUAGAUGAACUAGGCUGCACGCGUGCUACACUGAUAUAUAUAACGAGUUAUUAAAAAUAUAUCUGUGUAUAUAUGUAUUUUAUAUAUAUAUACAAAAGGUAUAAUUUUCCUCCACUGAAAAGUGUAGGUAAUCUUUAUCAAUAUAUAUCGUGAUGGGGAUAGAUUAUUGCAAUUAUUAAUCUUGAACGAGGAAUGCCUAGUAAGCAUGAUUCAUCAGAUUGU